GACGAACGCUGGCGGCGUGCCUAACACAUGCAAGUCGAACGAGGUCCAAGGAAGCUUGCUUCCUGACGACCUAGUGGCGAACGGGUGAGUAACACGUGAGAAACCUGCCUCGGAGUGGGGAAUAACUCGGGGAAACUCGAGCUAAUACCGCAUAUCUUCACAUGAUCGCAUGGUCGAGUGAAGAAAGAAUUUCGCUCUGAGAGGGUCUCGCGGCCUAUCAGCUUGUUGGUGGGGUAACGGCCCACCAAGGCAACGACGGGUAGCUGGUUUGAGAGAAAGAUCAGCCACACUGGGACUGAGACACGGCCCAGACUCCUACGGGAGGCAGCAGUGGGGAAUCUUGCGCAAUGGGCGAAAGCCUGACGCAGCAACGCCGCGUGCGGGAUGACGGCCUUCGUGGUUGUAAACCGCUUUCAGCAGGGACGAAAAUGAUGGUACCUGCAGAAGAAGCCCCGGCUAACUACGUGCCAGCAGCCGCAGUAA
rnacentral:rRNA from 1 species